rnacentral:rRNA from 1 species
UACGAAGGGUGCAAGCGUUACCCGGAAUUACUGGGCGUAAAGGGUGCGUAGGUGGUUUGUUAAGUCUGCUGUGAAAUCCCCGGGCUCAACCUGGGAAUGGCAGUGGAUACUGGCAAGCUAGAGUGCGGUAGAGGGGAGUGGAAUUCCCGGUGUAGCAGUGAAAUGCGUAGAGAUCGGGAGGAACACCAGUGGCGAAGGCGGCUACCUGGACCAGCACUGACACUGAAGCACGAAAGCGUGGGGAGCAAACAGG